rnacentral:tRNA from 1 species
CGAGGGGUGUCCGAGUGGUUGAAGGUGCCGCUCUCGAAAAGCGGUAGGCGCGACGAGCGCCUCGUGGGUUCGAAUCCCACCCCCUCGGCCG